GCCCUAUCAAUUUGGAAAGGUGUGAAAUGUUCAGAACUGCUUUAGGCUAUUAUGUUUGCAGAGUGUGUAUAAGAAUAGUUGGAGAGAUGGAUUCAAGAAAGCAUUAAAAGCAUGUGUUAUACAUGUCUACUGUAACAUGCGGUGUCCAUGAGAGUAUUGCAGAGCUCCACAGUACUCAAUGUGUAUAAGUGUAAUGUGGACACAGUAAUGUCCAG